CCUGUUAUUUUAAUGCAUAUCCUGUGUAGUGAACUCGUGGAGGAAGGAGACAGCCAAAGGGAUUGAGUCGCGGUCUGGUGUUUGGACAGUGAUUAACGUUUUCUGUGUCUGUCUCCGCCAAGCCACUAACCCAUCCUAUCUACCUCGAGAGCGGAUAACUACUACUAACACUUGGUGCAUAUGACAGCGUGUUAGUGUAAUGUUUUAGCACAGAGUUCGGCGUGUUACUAUAAUGUUUUAGCAUAGUGUUAAUGUAAUGUUUCAGCACAGGGUUACUGUAUUGCUUCAGCACAGAGUUCAGCGUGUUACUGUAAUGUUUUAGCACAGUGUUACUGUAUUGCUUCAGCACAGAGUUCAGCGUGUUACUGUAAUGUUUUAGCAUAGAGUUUGGCGUGUUAGUGUAAUGAUUUAGCACAGUGUUACUGUAAUGUUUAGCACAGCGUUCAGAGUGUUAGUGUAAUGUUUUAGCACAGCGUCAGUGUAAUGUUUUAGCACAGUGUUAUUGUAAUGUUUUAACACAGAUUUCGGCCGUUAGUGUAAUGUUUUAGCACAGUGUUACUGUAAUGUUUUAGCACAGCGUUAGUGUAAUGUUUUAGCACAGUGUUAGUAGUGUUACUGUAAUGUUUUAGCACAGUGUUAUUGUAAUGUUUUAGCACAGUGUUACUGUAAUGUUUUGCACAGUGUUACUGUAAUGUUUUAGCACAGUGUUAUUGUAAUGUUUUAGCACAGUGUUAUUGUAAUGUUUUAGCACAGCGUUAGUGUAAUGUUUUAGCACAGUGUUACUGUAAUGUUUUAGCAGAGCGUUCAGAGUGUUAGUGUAAUGUUUUAGCACAGUGUUACUGUAAUGUUUU
ensembl:lncRNA